AUGGCUUCUGCUGAAACCCUAGCCCGCUCCCCAUCUCGCGAGCCCUCGUCCGACCCGCCCCGCGAUGCCUCGCGCGACGCCUCGCGCGACGCCUCCUCCGAGCCCCACCACAACGGCUCAGCCAACGCCGCUGGCGACGGCGACUCGUCCUCCCGCCGCCGCCGCCGCAGCCGAUGGGAGCAGUCCAACGACGAGUCCGGUGCCAAUUCAGGCGGCGAGGGCGGCGCGGGAGGACGGAAGCGGAAGUCGCGCUGGGCCGAGGAGGAGCCCCGCCCGACCAUCGCGCUUCCGGAUUUCAUGAAGGACUUCGCCGCCGAGAUGGAUCCCGAGGUGCACAACCUCAACUCGCGCCUCCUGGAGAUUUCGCGCCUGCUGCAGUCGGGGCUCCCCCUCGACGACCGCCCAGAGGGCGCCCGCUCGCCGUCCCCUGAGCCAAUAUACGAUAACCUGGGCAUCCGCAUCAACACCCGCGAAUACCGGGCGAGGGAGCGCCUUAACCGCGAGCGGCAGGAGAUCAUCUCCCAGCUGAUCCGCCGCAAUCCCGCCUUCAAGCCCCCGGCGGAUUACCGCCCACCCAAGCUCCAUAAGAAGCUCUACAUCCCCAUGAAGGAGUACCCUGGGUACAACUUUAUUGGGCUCAUUAUUGGGCCCCGUGGCAACACACAGAAGCGGAUGGAGAAGGAGACGGGGGCCAAGAUCGUAAUCCGAGGGAAGGGCAGCGUCAAGGAAGGGAAGUUGCUGCAGAAGAGGGACUUGAAGCCAGAUCCCAGUGAGAAUGAGGACCUUCAUGUGCUUGUUGAGGCUGAUACUGAAGAAGCGUUAGAGGCUGCUGCAGGCAUGGUGGAGAAGCUGCUUACCCCUGUGGACGAAGUGCUAAAUGAGCACAAACGACAGCAGCUGCGGGAGCUUGCAGCCCUGAAUGGAACAAUCAGGGACGAUGAGUUUUGUAGGACUUGCGGGGAGCCGGGUCACCGACAGUAUGCAUGCCCGAACAGGACAACAACGUUUAAGAGCGAGGUGCAGUGUAAGAUCUGUGGCGAUGGUGGCCACCCGACAAUUGAUUGUCCAGUGAAGGGCACAUCUGGGAAGAAAAUGGACGACGAGUACCAGAACUUCCUUGCUGAGCUUGGUGGGAGUGCACCUGAGUCCAUGAACAAGUCUGGUGGUCCGAUGCUGGCUAUAACAGGUGGUGGUGGUGGUGGCGGCGGCGGCGGCGACGGUAGUGGUAGCAACUCACCCUGGGCUGGGGGUAAUGGUGCAGCAACAACAGGAGCCAACGGGCUCAAGAAGGAUUAUGACGAGACCAAUCUUUAUAUUGGGUACUUGCCACCUAUGUUUGAUGAUUCAGGGCUGAUCAACCUAUUUUCACAAUUUGGGGAGAUUGUCAUGGCAAAGGUUAUAAAGGAUCGCAACACAGGGCAGAGUAAAGGGUAUGGAUUUGUGAAAUAUUCAGAUGUCUCACAGGCUAAUGCAGCUAUUGCUGCAAUGAGUGGUUACCAUCUUGAAGGGAGAACUAUUGCAGUCCGAGUUGCAGGCAAGCCACCACAGCCAGCUGCCCCCCCUGGUCCUCCAGCAGCGCCAGUACCACAGAUGUACCACUCUGCAGAUCCUUCUGCUGGUGGCUACAACUCGCAGCCCUACAUGGGAGGACAUCCACCACCACCAGCUCCUCCAGGUAGCUAUGCUCCAGUUCCUUGGGGGCAACCACCACCUUAUGCUUCGUACCCUCCCCCGCCACCACCAGGCAUGUACAAUCCUCCACCUGGCCAAACUGCUCCACAUUCAUAUGGUAUGCAAUACCCACCACCACCAGCUCCAGUACCUCCACCAGGCACUACGUCAAAUGAUGGUGCACAGAACUACCCUCGGGGUGUAACACCACCAAGUUCUGGUGCACCUACCCAGCCCGUCCCUGCUCCAGCAUAUGGGACCUCUGGUGCGCAAAACAUGCCACAUAUGUACCCUCCACCACCUUAUGGUUAUGCCCCAUAUUAUCCAUCUGUCACACCAGUCCAGCCGCCUCCACCACCACUUCCACCAGCUAGUGUUGAUCCUUCACAAAGCAUUGCAACUGCACCUUGGGCCACUCACAAUGCACCUCCUCCACCGCCACCGCCGGCUAGUGUUGAUUCCUCACAGAGCAUUGCAACGGCACCUUGGGCUACCCACAAUGCACCGCCGCCACCACCUUUGCCAUCCUCCAACGACCAGCCCACUCCUCCCUAUGGUGCUGAUGCAGAGUAUGAUAAAUUUAUGUCGGAGAUGAAGUGA
rnacentral:rRNA from 1 species